rnacentral:lncRNA from 1 species
GCCAGGAUAAGCCUCUGGCUGGGCCUCGACUGUGACCCUCCGGCCUCUUUCUACAGCGCUGCCUGGAUGGACUGGCCUAUCUCUGCUGGAUUCCCGAAGUGCAUUGUGUAGAGAUAGCAACUCAGGUCAGGCUAAAAGCUGAAGCAAGCGCGUGAGCGCGCACACACACACACACAGCCUCCUUGGGACAAGAUAAAAUCUUAGCGCAUUCCCCUCUCCCCGAUUAGGUCUCUGGGAGGCCGAAGUGUUCAGGUGCAAGGUUCAGAUAACCCGCAGUGUCUCUCUAACUCUAGGAUGACAAAGACCUCAUUUCCCUUUUCUGGUGUUCACGGAACAAUGAGAAAGUACGGGUAGCCUGCAGAAAGACCUCUCCAUUCGUGGCCCCCCAGGGGUGUGGGUUCUGAGAGGUGGGACCAGCUGCCAGGCCCUUUCUCCAUUGGUUGAGCUCAGCAGAGAGAAAUCAACUAUUCAGGACCGGCCCCCACCUUUCCUCAGGAGCCAUUUCUGUUCUGCACAGGCCUGCUGAACUGGGUGCUUUAUAUGGGCAGGUGCAAGGACGUGUUGAUGAACUAGCUCUCUGUAGCCUCCUUGGAGAAUGUGAUCCUUGGGGAGGGGUAGGAGUAUUCAGGUCCUUGACAUCUCCCAAGUGUGUGAUUCCAGGAUGCCAAAGGCCUUUGGCCAGAUUUCAGUGGAGUGAAGUUCAGGAGGCAUGGAGCUGACGACGAUGAGGCCUCGGCAGUCAAAGCAGCAGCAGCAGCAGCAGCAGCAGCAGCAGCAGCAGCAGCAGCAAGAGUAACUCUGACUUAGGAACAGAGACAGCCAGAGAGAAAUGUGAUCAAUGAAGGAGACAUCUGGAGUGCACGUGCUUCUUCAGAGGGACUGGUGAUGGGCAGAUUGGAAAAAGCACCACAGAUGGGAACCACUUAAUCUUUCUUUUCUAACAUUGAUGCUAUGAAAAUUUGCAUUUUCUGUAACUUGUAAAAAUUAAAAGUUGCUUGUCUACUGAAAAGCCUCUCUGCCUCUAUGUUUUAUACCUUCGGAUGCCACAUACCGUUGGAUGCCAACUCCCGGCCUUCUAAGCCACCUCCUCUUUAGUCUAAAACUGAGACAUGAGCUUGAAGAAUUGACACUGGCUUCCUCUCUCUUGGGGGUCCCCAGGCAGGUGACUGGGACACUAUUUGCAAUCAGCAAGGAACCCUGCUGCCCUUAGACUCCCCACAGAGGGAGCAGAACCUGCAGAAUGGGG